CUGCCAGAAUUCAUAUGCUUGUCCUGAAGAUUAAGCCAUGCAUGCCUCGAUAAAUGGGCCGCCAAGGUGCAUUUAAUGCACCUUGCCCGCCAUAGGAAUCAGCGAACGGCUCCGUAUAUAUGUUGUAACGUAUCGUGACAAACAGGGCGUGGAGAUGUACGGAAAAGCUGUACAGGAUAUAAACACUUUGCAUUCACUCGAGACGGAAGUUAAGUACGUUGAGACUGGAUGGGUCGGCCGCCAUGCCAUUAUGUAGGUCGCCAUGCCUUCAGCCCUAGCAAUACUCAAUGUUCUAACACUCAAGGAUCCCCCUGUAAUGGGGGGCUAGUUGUGCUUGUUAGUCUGUGGCCUCUUAGUUAUAAAGAGGAACCGAAUGUACACGAUCGGCUUCAUACCUAUCAGUUAGAUGGUGGGGUAUUGGCCCACCAUGACUAUAACGGGUACAGAGGACUAGGGUUUGGUCCUGGAGAGGUAGCCUGAGAAAUCGCUACCACUUCUAUGGAAGGCAGCAGGCGCGUAACGUUCCCAAUGCAAGGAGAGUGAGGACGAUAAAAGGACAUAACAAUGCCACUUAAGAUUAAGCUGGCAAUUGAUAAUG
rnacentral:rRNA from 1 species